GACGAACGCUGGCGGCGUGCCUAAUACAUGCAAGUUGAGCGAUGAAGAUUGGUGCUUGCUCCAAUUUGAAGAGCAGCGAACGGGUGAGUAACGCGUGGGGAAUCUGCCUUUGAGCGGGGGACAACAUUUGGAAACGAAUGCUAAUACCGCAUAACAACUUUAAACAUAAGUUUUAAGUUUGAAAGAUGCAAUUGCAUCACUCAAAGAUGAUCCCGCGUUGUAUUAGCUAGUUUGUGAGGUAAAGGCUCACCAAGGCGAGGAUACAUAGCCGACCUGAGAGGGUGGUCGGCCACAUUGGGACUGAGACACGGCCCAACCUCCUACGGGAGGCAGCAGUAGGGAAUCUUCGGCAAUGGACGAAAGUCUGACCGAUCAACGCCGCGUGAGUGAAGAAGGUUGUCGGAUCGUAUAACUCUGUUGGUAGAGAAGAACGUUGGUGAGAGUGGAAAGCUCAUCAAGUGACGGUAACUACACAGAAAGCGACGGCUAACUACGUG
rnacentral:rRNA from 1 species